CCCCCCCCGACUCUGAGAGCCUGAAACAAACACUUGGUUAGUUUUCAGUUUCUCCUUGAUCCGCAAAGCAUCGAGAACAUCACUACUCAUGGAUCCAAGAAGAGGUGUAAGACGAACAGCCUUCCCAAACUCAAUCAGCACUGUUGGUCAGCUCACGUCUGACCUGUGAGCAGAAUCCUGGAGGACAAAACUGUGCCCUGCUCCUGUGUUUCAUGUUCCUCGACCAGACACAAAUAAGAGGCUUCACCAAUAUCUACUCAAGAAACGAGUGAGUCAAGAAACUGAUCCAGAUUGCUCAUGUCUGAACUCCGAUCACACAGGACGUCAAUCAUCGAACCAAGGAACUGUGGUACCUGCUGCACCAGUGAGAUGUCCUAAUCCAACAUGGAGGUCCUAAGCCCCACUGUUGCUAUGGACUCUAAAGUAAGAUUGCGCGGUUAUCCCUAGGGUAACUUACCCUGUUGAUCGAGUUUUCGAAUCAGUAAAGUGAUGUAAUACUUUUGACUGGUAAGUCUUAAUCACUCAGAAGUUGUUUUAUUCCCCGAGGUCACCCCAAUCUAAUUGUUGGCCCAUGGGGCUAUUUGUCAUCUCUGUUGACUGUGUUGGGUUAGUCUCUUUAGGCCAGUUAAAGGGUCAUAGGCUCUUCCUCUUUUUUUAUAUUCCCUCCUCUUCACAGGAAGGUCAAUUUCACCGAUUGGAAGGAAGAGACAGUAAGACCCUCGUGUGGCCUUUCAUACGAGUCCCUAUUUAGGGAACAAGUAUGCAUCAAGGGUCAAGUUCCCAGAUGACCUCCACACUUUCUCUACCAUUCCCAGUGACUGGAACUGUGGUCCCCCAGAGCAGAGACCCAUGGUUUCAUGUAGCCUUUCCUUAAGAGGCUUUUCUUCCCUCCCAGUCCCUCCUCCUACUCCACUUCUUCUUAAGAGACUAUUUGUCCCCCAGUGUCUGUCUUUGAGGAAACUAAUUCAUAAAUUUAUAUAACUAAGGCCGAUUCAUAAAUUCGCAUGUUUGUCACUCUGUGAGCUCAGGUAAUUUAUUUGCACCUCUAUCAGGGUCUAUUUACUCCUUGAUAAAAUAUGGAUAACCAUACUUAAUGAUUACUGUAGGAAAAUCUUGGGUGCUCCUCCAAUUACAGGAGCUUGGUAAAUAGCGAUUUCUAGGUAUUAGUUUAUUCACCACCUUCCCCAGGGCUCUCUGGACUCUGAGGGGUCUGACAGCUUUGUCACAAAGUUUACAAUUCCCCAAAAGACAAAAGGGGCUUUGCACACCUCCACCCCCGUAGGAUCCCCAAGAAUUCCAUAACUCAAGUUCUCAGUGACCAGUAUGAGGACCACUCUUGUAGGCGGUAGAGGAACUGAAUAAAUCUAAGUCCCUGCUUUUAAGGAGUUUACGUUUCAGGGGAAGGAUUUGGAUCAUUAACAAGUCACUACAUAAGGGGAACAGACUUUAAAGAAAACACGGAAAUGCAGGAUAACAAGGAUGGAGAGGAACAAGGAUGGGGCACACUGGUAGUCUAUGUAAGAGACCAGCAAGUUCUCCCUGGUAGGAUGUUUUCCUAGCUUUGAGAUAUAAUCGACCUAUCCUAUUAUGUAAAGUGGAGGUGGGCCACAUGAUAGAAGGUACAUACUGCACAACGAUUACUGCCAUAAGGUUAAUUAGCAAAACUAUCAUCUCCCAUAAUU